rnacentral:tRNA from 1 species
CGCGGGAUGGAGCAGUUGGUCAGCUCGCCAGGUUCAUACCCUGGAGGUCGAUGGUUCGAGUCCGUCUCCCGCUAC